GCUGAGCUCAGUAAUGUGGGCUUGUUACCCAAAUGGGGGCAUUAAUGUGGUGGGAUGUUGGGCAUUCCCAAAUGGUUGGACUUGGUGGGCUAGUUUCUGGCCUGCCCUAUCCAAGCACAGAGUUGGAUCACGGGGCCUAAUUGAAAGAAUGGGUUUCUUGAUCCCUAAAGCGGGGUGGACUGCGUGAGGCUGGCUUCACAGAGCAACGAAUAGCUCCCGCUCUGUGCAGUGGAAGGACAACGGGCUGGUGUCUUUCAAGUCCAGUAACGCCUGAUGGGCUGCUCCAGUUAAACCACCUCUUUU
rfam:Capsicum annuum cultivar Zunla-1 chromosome 3, whole genome shotgun sequence